CCCUUAGAUGUCCUGGGCUGCACGCGCGCUACACUGAUGUGUCCAGUAAGCACCUAACCUCUUCCGAAAGGAACGGGUAACCUUUGCAAAGCACAUCGUGAUGGGGAUAGAUUAUUGCAAUUAUUAGUCUUGAACGAGGAAUUCCUAGUAAGCACAAUUCAUCAGCUUGUGUUGAUUACGUCCCUGCCCUUUGUACACACCGCCCGUCGCUCCUACCGAUUGAAUGUUCCGGUGAGCUCUUCGGACUGCGCGGUCUGCAGUUUCUGCGUUCCGUGCGGAAAGUUGCGCAAACCUUAACAUUUAGAGGAAGGAGAAGUCGUAACA
rnacentral:rRNA from 1 species